GCGUCCCCAAAGGUAAUUUUCUUCAGACCUCUCUAGCUCAGGAAGGAGAUAGAGGCAAGGAUGAGGAAGGCAUGAGCAACACAGGACUGUGGAAAUAAAUGAAGGCCAGCCAGAAGAGAACCAGUAAAGGCUAUUUAUGCAGAGCUGAGUGUAGCGAGGGAGUCGGCCAUCAUCUCUUGCGUUUUGGCGGAGGCUCAGAGGCAAGCAGAGGAGAGGUGAAGCUGUACAGUGGAAGGGGAGAGGCCCCCAGUGUGCCCUGACUGGAGACUGUCGGCAUGGGGAAGUUGGAGGUGGGCUCAAGAACGAGGAGCAUCUGUGAUCGGUUAAGGGCAUAUGCUCGGCUUUCUCUAGUAGUUCCUAAGUUAGUAGUGGGGGGGUGUUGGAAAUUAGGGACGUUAUCCAUUUUUACUCAAGUCCUGGCCAUUUGGGGCUGAUUGUUACCAAGGUUGUUGGUUGGCAUUUUGGAUUCUUGCCAGUGGUGGUGGCCUGACUUCCUGCAGGCAUGAGAUAGCAGGCUGGCUUCCUGGGCUGGUUACUGUAGAUAGCACUUGGCUUCCCGGCCAGGUUGCACUCAGAGUUCUGUAUCUGCAUAUUCUCUGGCCACUGCUUGUUUGUACAUUUAGUGUCUCAGUACCAACAUAGCGCUGGCCGAGAAUAAACAACAGACUCAGCACCUGUCAGCCUGGGAGCUACUCAGGCUGUGUUGCUCCCCAUCAGGUGGCGGGCAUUGAGAGUGCUCCGGUGGUCGCUGGCAGGGCCCACCCUACCACCGUCUGUUUUCAGCUGCACACUUGGUCAUGAGGCGCACAGGCACUCAUUUGCGUGCAGAGAGCUCCUGAUGCCUUCCUCCAACUUGGCCUUCACAUUAGUGAACUACUGGUCUGAGGGGCGUACUGUUUUAUUGGGCAGGGAAGCCCAUCCUGGGUUUUAGUCCCAUUUUUGGUAGUGACUGGCUGUCUUCAUCGCCCAAGGUCUUCCUGACAGUGGAAGGUUCUCAUCCGUCUCAUGUCGCCCCUGCUCCCUGCCUUGACGUGGCAGAGGGUUUCCUGGCCAGGAAUGGAAGAUUUCCCAAUUGCUCUGAAAUUUCUGUGGUAAUGUCCUUCUUCAGUCAUUUUCUUGACACCCACCGGAAGUUUGAUGUCACAGCCUCCCUGCCCUGGGCACUGUGUCUGGUGUGAGGCGGUGUUUGUGGCAGCCUGGUGCCCAUCACUGUGGUCCUGGCAGCUCCCUAGGGGUUCUUCUGAAGGUGGUCCCCACCCCCGCUGCGCCCUAGUUUAUUAUUUAUGUGUCUAUUGUGCGUUUAACAUCAUUGAUAGAGGAGACACUGGAAUCUUUUAUUUUUCUAGAAUUCAAGAAAAAAGUUUUCAGAGUUUAAACAUUAAGUUUUACACAAAACGUGUCUAAAGUAUCUAAGUUUAUAAAUAAACUCUAAAAAUAUUAUGUAGGUUUUGAAAGACAUCUGCAAGUUUUGAAGAGGGGAUGGUUUUAAACAGGCAUUUCUUCUCUUGCCUUUGUGUGUGUUUGCACUUUUAAAUUAAAUGACAUCCUCUGAGUGUAGGAGUUAAGUCAAAGCUGUCAAGAUUUUUUUUUUCCAUCCUAAUAACAACCCUUGUGCCAUUGACUACCAAGAAUAACAAUGAGCCUUUUUUUAAGCUAAAAAAGAGUAUUUAUUUUCGUCACUGAAAGAACAAUUAUUCGUGUCCUUACGGUUUUUAAGGUAUUUUUAUGAAUUCUAAGAAUAAGCCAGUUUGAAGUUCAACUACACAAAAUAAAAAUGCCUCAUUACUGAGCUUUCCACCUGAAGUAUUUGGGUUGGUGGGUCUUGGCCUUUCAAUGAUAACAGAUAAUAUUUAGUGAUGACUUUUGUGUGUCUUAUGCUGUUGGAAAUGCAGUAACUAUAUUAACCCAUUUACUUGUCACAUUAUCCUCACUUUAUAGCUUGCACACUGAGGCCUAAAAAGUUUUAACCCCUUGCUCAAGGCCGCACAGCCAUGAUUUGGACCUGGAUCAUCAGAUAGCCACCUUUGGCCUAUAUUGACUCUAGAAGGUUCCACUUGCAUACUGGUUGAGGCAUUCAGUUUCUCUCUUAUUUCCUCCUAAAACACAUGCUUGGAAAGAAUGAGAAACAUUUACUAUAUGUUUUUAUCUCAGAACCCUUCAGGCUUCUGGAGUAUAACAUACAAUGAUGAUCAUAAGGCUCUUCCCCAGACCGUGGCCUAAGCUGUUGCGGAUAAGGCCAGCCACUGCUGCUGAUCUGCUCUGCAUAGUGCUAACUCGAGAAAAGACAAGAGGAAAAAUAGGAGGAGGACGGUGGUAAAAGUAAUUUAUGAUUAUCUUCUGAUCUUGUUUUUUUUUUUUUAAUCUUUUGGUUAAAUCUGUUUUUAGCGGACUUACUUUUUUUUUUAUUGCAGUAAAAUAUUUAACACCGCUGAGCUGUCCACUUAAAGAUGGUUAAAAUGGUCAGGUUUAUGUUAUGUGAAUUUUACCGAUCAAUCGAUAGGAAGAAAAAAAUUUUUAUUUUUAUUUAUUUAUUUAUUUUUAAGAUUUUAUUUAUUUAUUCAUAGAG
rnacentral:lncRNA from 1 species